GGUGAUUUGGCCGAGUUGGUCUAAGGCGCCGCACUCAAGAUGCGGUCUCGAAAGAGGCGUGAGUUCGAAUCUCACAGUCACC